rnacentral:rRNA from 1 species
UACGUAGGGGGCGAGCGUUGUCCGGAUUUAUUGGGCGUAAAGAGCGUGUAGGCGGUUCGGUAAGUCUGUCGUGAAAUCCUGAGGCUCAACCUCGGGCGUGCGAUGGAUACUGCCGGGCUAGAGGGUGGUAGAGGCGAGUGGAAUUCCUGGUGUAGCGGUGAAAUGCGCAGAUAUCAGGAGGAACACCGGUGGCGAAGGCGGGUCUCUGGGCCGAUACUGACGCUGAGGAGCGAAAGCGUGGGGAGCGAACAGG